GAGCAUAUAGCUCAAUAGUAGAGUACAUGCCUUGCAUGCACGAGGUCCUGGGUUCAAUCCCCAGUACCUCU
rnacentral:tRNA from 1 species